rnacentral:lncRNA from 1 species
CCCCCCCCCCCCCCCCCCCCCCCCCCCCCCCCCCCCCCCCCCCCCCCCCCCCCCCCCCCCCCCCCCGCCCGCAGGCCGCGCACCGCACCGCACCGCGCCGCGCCGCGCGGGCGGGGCUCCGGGGAAAUCGCGGGCAAAACGCCGGGAUUGGAGAGUGUGGAGAUUGCAGGAAGAUGGAUUCUCCAGCCAGUUCCGCCACCACAGGCUGCGGAUCCCGAGCCCAUUGAACCCUCCAGGACCUGGACACUGGACCUGCCGUCCUGCCUUCUCCCUUAUCUCGGUGCUUGGCAGGUGCCAUGGAUUUCACACUUCCACUGACCUCUGAGCGCUGCCAAAGCCAGGGAGGCACAUCGGGCAGAUAACGUGUCCCCAGUGUCCCCAUUCCACCUCUGCCUUCCCGAGUCCCUUAGGCUCUGGGGAGAGUUACUUAAAAAUAUGCCAGAUUUAAGGUCUGUCUGAAGUCAAAUAAAAAUUCUGCAUUGUUUAAAUCACAUUUCCGUGGCCUUCAUAUUUAAUAAAGGAGUUGUAUUCUUGUAGCAUAAAAAUCUAAAUGACACAUAGAGCACGUAUACUAUCUACUACACGUAUUUUACUUUCAUAUACAGUACGCCUGCAUAAUUUCCCAUCAAAUUUCCAUUUUGGAGGUUUCCAUGAAUUAGAAGCAAACCCAUGACCUUGAAAAUAAGUUACAUAAGCAGCAUGGAUACACCGUGAAUCGCGGAGUCGUUUGGGUUCUGAAAGACCCUUAAAGAUCAUGGACUAGCAGUGAAUUGCAGGCUGUUAAAUGCUUUAUUAAUCACCAAUUCCCGGCCGCAAAAUCUUGAUGGUGACUAGCAGAGCCCACAUUCAGAAAGCAGAGCAGCACUAGCAAGUUUUUUAAUCCAAGGUGCAAGCCGUGUAGGCUGGGAGCGUUACACAAGCGCAGCCGGGAUGGCGAGGCCACGGAGAAACGAGGUUCUUGCCUCAUUUUUGGGUCACAGACACUUGUUGCUACUUCUUGGGGGAAAAAAAAAAAAAAAAAAGACCCCCCCCUUGGGGGAAAAAAAAAAAAAAAAACGAGCAGAGCGGCGGUGAUUUUGUGGAGAUGCGGCGAAGCGCGCGAAGCGAUGGCUCCUGCCGGUGCCGACGCGGUGUCUGGUGACCUUUAGAGGUGACAGGGACCGCGCUGGCGCUCUCGGGUGCCCGCUGCCCCAUUCAUCCCGCACCGCCCGCGCCCUCCCCGUGCCCCCGGCGCUGCCGCUCCCCGGGCCGUCCCCGCUGUCCCCACCGCCCCUCGGCGGGCCCCCCCCCCCCCCCCCCCCCCCCCCCCCCCCCCCCCCCCCCCCCCCCCCCCCCCCCCCCCCCCCCCCCCCCCCCCCCCCCCCCCCCCCCC